AGCGAACGCUGGCGGCGUACUUAACACAUGCAAGUCGAACGAGGAUCUUCGGUGUAGCAAUACAUUGGCGGUCCUAGUGGCGCACGGGUGAGUAACACGUGGGUGACCUGCCCUAGAGCUCGGGAUACCCCCUCGAAAGGGGGCUAAUACCGGAUACGUUCCUUGGUCGAAAGAUCGGGGAGGAAAGGUGGCGCAAGCUGCCGCUCUUGGAGGGGCUCGCGGCCUAUCAGCUAGUUGGCGGGGUAACGGCCCACCAAGGCUAUGACGGGU
rnacentral:rRNA from 1 species